rnacentral:rRNA from 1 species
GACGAACGCUGGCGGCGUGCUUAACACAUGCAAGUCGAACGGGCCUGUCUUCUUUUUUGGGGGUGGGUUGAGUGGCGAACGGGUGAGUAUCACGUGAGUAACCUGCCCUUCGGUCCUGGAUAACCGCUUGAAAGGGCGGCUAAUACGGGGUGGUCCGGUUGGUCCGCAUGGGCUGGUCGGGAUAGAUUCACUGUUUUUGGUGUUUCGGCGGGGGAUGGGCUCGCGGCCUAUCAGCUUGUUGGUGGGGUGAUGGCCUACCAAGGCGGUGACGGGGAGCCGGCCUGAGAGGGUGGGCGGCCACACUGGGACUGAGAUACGGCCCAGACUCCUGCGGGAGGCAGCAGUGGGGGGUAUUGCACAAUGGGCGGAAGCCUGAUGCAGCGACGUCGCGUGAGGGAUGGAGGCCUUCGGGUUGUGAACCUCUGUUUCCGGUGGUGAAGGCCCUGUCCGUGUGGUGGGGUUGACGGUAGCCGGGGAUGAAGCGCCGGCUAACUACGUG